CCCAGCUUGCAGGAGCCUUCAAGCAUGGAAUGUAUUUUCUCAGGCUUGUUGUAUGAGAGUAAGCCUUACAAGACACUUGGAAGCACGUAACCUGUAGCUGCUUCUUUUCGCCUAUAUCAUUAGGACUGAAUGCUCUCCCUGAUCUUACUCUCUGUCAGAAAGUUAGCACCCUUAAAACCAACAUUCAAACUAAGAGUUGAACUGUGGUAUCUUGAAUGCUAAAAACUGAAUGUGAAUGCUUCAAUGGAAUUGUUCUAUUUCACGAUAAGAGGAAUUAUUCUCUUGUGGUUUGAAGAUGUAGUAAUGAAUUCUGAAAUGCAACAAGACAAAAAUGAGAUACAAUGAAAGCUUAACUUGGUUGUUCAUGCAAAAUAUCUACCAUGAGAGGCAUGGCAUUUCAGCACUUACACUUCUGAUCCUAGCUGGUUGACCCCAAGCCACCUGCAGGGAAAAAGGAAGGGAAUGAUGAAGAGAAAUGUUGCAGCUGCUGGAGGAAAAAGCUAGCUCCUGCCAACAACAUAGGCCAGUAUCAGUCAGAACAUUCCAGAUGUGGGCACCGUGAUCCAGAGUUGAUGACCACAAAAAGGGCAGAGGCCUACCCUGUGUUGUAUGAGAUAAAGCCGGUAGAAGUGGGAGCAGGGAGCUUCUCCUUCCAUGCUCUGCACAUCCAUGUGGGUGUGGGACAGGAUAUAUCCCUAAUACUGUGACCUCUAGAAGAAGAAUCCAGCUAAUAUGCCUGUAAUCUCACCACUGCCUCAAGAGAGGCAAUCAAUCUCAUUUGAGGCAUGGACUAGCUCCUGGUCUCCAGCCUUCCUGUAAGCAUGCUGCAGUCAGUAGUAGCAGUGGAGGGUGGCACUAGGCCAGACACUACCAUUAUGAUCUAAUCUGAGCACCUGUAUAACAUAGGCCAAGGAAUUUUACCAAGAGAUUCCGGCAUCAAGUCAAUAACUUCUGGGUGAACUAGAACACAUCUUUUAGAAGGACAUCCAGUCUCAAUGUAUCUGUGUAAUUCAUAAUGCAUGGUGAUAAUAAUAAAAGAGCAAACCAUAUUUCAGGAGCUAGAUUCAUUGUAUUUUAAUACAUUUGACCCUAAAUAGCAAAGUAUAAAAAUCAACAGAACUCUUAAAUGUGCACUGUAGUAAAUUGUUUGCAUAGCACUACAGGAGUGACUAAAAAAGAAAGUAGGAAAGAGUAUAAAACCAUAUAGUUUAAUAGUUGAAGUUCUUUGUCCAGGCUCACUCCUACAUUAAGAGAAUAUUUCUGAUUGUCCUUUGAAAUGUGUAUAAUUUCAGAUAAACCAUCUUGCUACAAAACUAGAACAUAAUCCCCAUGGGCAGAAAUAUUAGCACAGACAUUUACACUGUACCACAGCAUUGCUUAGUCUGCUCCAGCUGAAU